CCUUCCGGCUGUGUUCUGCCCGGGCCGAGUCUUGGGUGGCGGCUGGCUGGGAGCGUGCCCCCGCCUGUGGGCGCCAGUGAGCUGCUGCAGGCUCCUUCUGGGCGUCCAGUCCAGGUCUGCAGCGUGUGGUUUCCCGCAGGGCUCCGAAUGGGCGGGGCCCUACACCAGCGAUAGCCUUAAAGGGAGGAGAACUCUUUAGGGACUGCGCUGUGAGGAUUAAUUUGGGACGUGAUGGUUAAAGGUUCUGGCUUGAGACUCUUUGUUUGCGUUGUUAAUUUUGAAGGAGGUAGAAAUUGAAGCUGGUCCAGUUAACGCUGGGUUCUCAGUCUGGAGAGCAGGAAAAAAAAAUCGAGACGAACCGAAGAAGAUGAGUCUUUCCCCAAAGGAGAUAGAAGAUGGGGAAGAUGAAAUGUUAGAAGAUCGAAAUGCCAAAACCCUUUGAUCAAGGACAGGCCUGACACAGUCACUCAGCAUGAAUUAAUAGACGUGUUUGAGGAUGUUUCGCAGAUCAGAUUGCUGCAGGAUCGCCUGUGUCAACGGCAUGUCACCAGCCGAUGCAGAGAGAGCCUUGCAAGAGAAGCCAGGAACGGGGAUCGGUGGGCUCGCCAUGGUUCUGGACCCCGUGAAUGCGAAAAGCCAAAACCGGGAAGAGGGCAGCGCCUGGAGAAGUCAGGAGGUUACAGCCCGGGAGGUGGAGCCCAGGCCGGGCCGGGGUUGUGGGCGGGGUUCCCGGGGAGGGGGCCCUGUGAGGUCAGGGGCACUUGGCACUUAUAAAUACAGUUUCUCCCUCAUCCUCACAGUUCUGCCAAGCUAAUGAGCGUUGUCCUGGUUGACCGUAACCUUGAUGUCUGCAAAAGGCGUGGCACCUUGGGAGACAGCCUGUAGAUCCCCCACCCCCACCCCCACCCCCUGCCCCGCUGGGGUAGCCUCUAGGAUUCUGUUUGAACAAGCCCUUUAACCUGUGGUUUCAGAAUUAGAUAUUUAAUGCCCUUCAAACAUUUAAUUCUCUUCACGGAGAUGGGUUUUUUUUUUUCUUUUUCUUUUUCCUCUCACAGGGCGUGCAGAAGUUCUAGGCCGGGGAUCAAACCCAUGCCACAGCAGUAACCCAAGCCACAGCAGUGACAAUGCUGAGUCCUUAACUGCUGGGCCACCCGGGAACUCCUCAAGUAGAAUUUUUAAAAAGCUUAACACCAGAGAACCCCAAACCAGUGCCCUUAAUCUGCAUAACUUGAUUGGUAGACAUGGUGGCGUAUACAGUACUUAGAGGAAAAAAAAAACCCAGUAGAAUUUACUAUGAGUAUUUUUUACAGUCAAAGGGUUUUACAUAAAAAUCUGGAUUUCUAGCUUUUGCUACAUCCAAAAAUGUGGUGGCCUUAGGGCCACAUCCCUACGUGUCUGCAGCCAUCUGGAGAGAGGCAGCUGCUUCCUCUUGGCUGUGGCAUUUGCUCUGCUGGCUACAAGCCCCACCAUUCUUCUGGAAGUCUUCCCCACCUCUGAAGGAGCGAGCAUCAUGCUGACACUUUGAAAAAAAUAGUUCAUUCUUUUUUCUUACAAAGCAUUACUUUUUUCUUAUUGGUAAAGAUGACGUUUUAUUUAUUUUUUUGUCUUUUGUCUUUUUAGGGCUGCACCCAAGGCAUAUGGAGGUUCCCAGGCUAGGGGUCUCCUUGGAGCUGUAGCUGCCAGCCUACGCCACAGCCACAGCCACAGCCACAGCCACACCAGAUCUGAGCCACAUCUGUGACCCACACCCCAGCUCACGGCAACGCCGGAUCCUUAAGAUGACGUUUUAAUAUGUCUUAUACAUUUGUCUCUUUCGUAAAUGGGAAAAUGAACGUUAGAACAAGAAUCCCACGCAUUUCAAGAAAAAUGGGAGAGAGCUUAUUUCUUUGUGGAGCUGCAGGAUGUUCCUAUGCAUUUAAUACGCAAACAAAGCCUGUGUGGAGAGCGUGCAACCUAAGACAGCAUUAUGAAGCCAGCCUUAGCAGGAGCCACGAUGGAUUUACAGAAAAGAUACGUGAUAGAAAACUCAGCGAAAUGAAAGAAAGGCUGAAGCUUCACCAUGAUUUGCUUUUAAAUGCGGGCGUGGAGAUCAUACCCCCACGUAGCUGCAUUUAUUCGGGCGUCAGCAAAACUUUUGAUGUGACUGAAGAACUGCUGGACGUGGUCCCCAUGACAGGCACAACAUCAGGAAACGAGGGGAAAAUCGUGCCUCAGCUUACUAGCAAAGAUGGAAUCAGAGACUUCGUCUUUUGAGUUGACAUUACGACACAUCUGAACAUGUUGGCUAGUUCUCUGCAAGGACGUUCACAAAUGGUGACACAGAUGUACGAUUCAGUUCGCUCAUUCUUAGCGAAAUUGUGUCUUUGGGCAUCUCAUUUGGCAAGGAACAAUCUGGCCCACUUUCGGACGCUGAAAUUAGUGUCUGAAAAUGAAAAGGAUGGCCUGAACUACCUUCCCCAAAUUAAGGUGUUGAAGACUGAAUUCCAGAAAAGGUUCUGACUUCAGACUUUAGGAGAACGGACUAACGCUGUUCAGCUCCCCCUUCUCCGUGAAUAUCAAUCAUCUGAAUGAAGACUUGCAAAUGGAAGUGAUUCAAUUGCAGUGCAACCACCUACUGAAAGCGAAGGUUGAGAUGUCGGUCGGCGGCCCCCGAGUUCUGCAGGUAUCUUGGGAAUGGUCACCCUAAAUAGAAAAACCAGCAUGCAGGGAUUCUGUCCGUGUUUGGAAACAAUUAUGUUUGGAAGCAGCUGUUUUCUGCCAUGAAAUGAAAUAAAAUACUGCUCCAGGUAAAGGAUUCGAUGAGGAAUCCCCGACUGCACGUUUUCUGCAGCACAGAAGUUCACAACCUGACCUUGACUGACAUCUUGGGGCAUGAGAAAGGAAUGUCAGGUUUUGAAUUUCAAAUCUGAGGAGUAAUAAAUUGCAAAACUUUGAAG
rnacentral:lncRNA from 1 species